rnacentral:rRNA from 1 species
UUGGAGGGCAAGUCUGGUGCCAGCAGCCGCGGUAAUUCCAGCUCCAAUAGCGUAUAUUAAAGUUGUUGCAGUUAAAAAGCUCGUAGUUGAAUUUCGGGAUUAAUUUAUUGGUCGUGCUAUUGUACGUACUGGUAUUAUUGAUUCCUACCUUCUGACGAACCACGAUGUCAUUAAUUUGGUGUCAUGGGGAAUCAGGACUGUUACUUUGAAAAAAUUAGAGUGUUUAAAGCAGGCUCACGCUUGAAUACAUUAGCAUGGAAUAACGAAAUAGGACGUUUGAUUCUAUCUUGUUGGUUUCUAGGAUCGACGUAAUGAUUAAUAGGGAUAGUUGGGGGCAUUAGUAUUCAAUUGUCAGAGGUGAAAUUCUUGGAUUUAUUGAAGACUAACUACUGCGAAAGCAUUUGCCAAGGAUGUUUUCAUUAAUUAAGAACGAAAGCUAGGGGAUCGAAGACGAUCAGAUACCGUCGUAGUCUUAACCAUAAACUAUGCCGACUAGGGAUCGGAUGAUGUUAAUCUUUUAAUGACUCAUUCGGCGCCUUACGGGAAAC